UACGAAGGGGGCUAGCGUUGCUCGGAAUCACUGGGCGUAAAGGGUGCGUAGGCGGCGCGGUAAGUCGGGUGUGAAAUCUCGGGGCUUAACUCCGAAACUGCAUUCGAUACUGCCGUGCUUGAGGACUGGAGAGGAGACUGGAAUUUACGGUGUAGCGGUGAAAUGCGUAGAUAUCGUAAGGAAGACCAGUGGCGAAGGCGGGUCUC
rnacentral:rRNA from 1 species